rnacentral:tRNA from 1 species
GCCCCCAUCGUCUAGGGGACUAGGACGUAGCCCUUUCAAGGCUAAGACCGGGGUUCGAAUCCCCGUGGGGGCA